GAAUAUUUAAGGGAGGUUUACAGUUUCAUCAAGCACCAUAAAGUCCAUGCAAAAUGGUUUAGUACUAAUCUGGGGGAUCUGAGG